rnacentral:rRNA from 1 species
CCGGGGGUAGAGCACUGUUUCGGCAAGGGGGUCAUCCCGACUUACCAACCCGAUGCAAACUGCGAAUACCGGAGAAUGUUAUCACGGGAGACACACGGCGGGUGCUAACGUCCGUCGUGAAGAGGGAAACAACCCAGACCGCCAGCUAAGGUCCCAAAGUCAUGGUUAAGUGGGAAACGAUGUGGGAAGGCCCAGACAGCCAGGAUGUUGGCUUAGAAGCAGCCAUCAUUUAAAGAAAGCGUAAUAGCUCACUGGUCGAGUCGGCCUGCGCGGAAGAUGUAACGGGGCUAAACCAUGCACCGAAGCUGCGGCAGCGACGCUGAUGCGUUGUUGGGUAGGGGAGCGUUCUGUAAGCCUGUGAAGGUGUGCUGUGAGGCAUGCUGGAGGUAUCAGAAGUGCGAAUGCUGACAUAAGUAACGAUAAAGCGGGUGAAAAGCCCGCUCGCCGGAAGACCAAGGGUUCCUGUCCAACGUUAAUCGGGGCAGGGUGAGUCGACCCCUAAGGCGAGGCCGAAAGGCGUAGUCGAUGGGAAACAGGUUAAUAUUCCUGUACUUGGUGUUACUGCGAAGGGGGGACGGAGAAGGCUAUGUUGGCCGGGCGACGGUUGUCCCGGUUUAAGCGUGUAGGCUGGUUUUCCAGGCAAAUCCGGAAAAUCAAGGCUGAGGCGUGAUGACGAGGCACUACGGUGCUGAAGCAACAAAUGCCCUGCUUCCAGGAAAAGCCUCUAAGCAUCAGGUAACAUCAAAUCGUACCCCAAACCGACACAGGUGGUCAGGUAGAGAAUACCAAGGCGCUUGAGAGAACUCGGGUGAAGGAACUAGGCAAAAUGGUGCCGUAACUUCGGGAGAAGGCACGCUGAUAUGUAGGUGAAGUCCCUCGCGGAUGGAGCUGAAAUCAGUCGAAGAUACCAGCUGGCUGCAACUGUUUAUUAAAAACACAGCACUGUGCAAACACGAAAGUGGACGUAUACGGUGUGACGCCUGCCCGGUGCCGGAAGGUUAAUUGAUGGGGUCAGCGCAAGCGAAGCUCUUGAUCGAAGCCCCGGUAAACGGCGGCCGUAACUAUAACGGUCCUAAGGUAGCGAAAUUCCUUGUCGGGUAAGUUCCGACCUGCACGAAUGGCGUAAUGAUGGCCAGGCUGUCUCCACCCGAGACUCAGUGAAAUUGAACUCGCUGUGAAGAUGCAGUGUACCCGCGGCAAGACGGAAAGACCCCGUGAACCUUUACUAUAGCUUGACACUGAACAUUGAGCCUUGAUGUGUAGGAUAGGUGGGAGGCUUUGAAGUGUGGACGCCAGUCUGCAUGGAGCCGGCCUUGAAAUACCACCCUUUAAUGUUUGAUGUUCUAACGUUGACCCGU